GAUGAACGCUGGCGGCGUGCCUAAUACAUGCAAGUCGAGCGAACAGACGAGGAGCUUGCUCCUCUGACGUUGGCGGCGGACGGGUGAGUAACACGUGGAUAACCUACCUAUAAGACUGGGCUAACUUCGGGAAACCGGAGCUAAUACCGGAUAAUAUAUUGAACCGCAUGGUUCAAUAGUGAAAGACGGUUUUGCUGUCACUUAUAGAUGGAUCCGCGCCGCAUUAGCUAGUUGGUAAGGUAACGGCUUCCCAAGGCAACGAUGCGUAGCCGACCUGAGAGGGUGAUCGGCCACACUGGAACUGAGACACGGUCCAGACUCCUACGGGAGGCAGCAGUAGGGAAUCUUCCGCAAUGGGCGAAAGCCUGACGGAGCAACGCCGCGUGAGUGAUGAAGGUCUUCGGAUCGUAAAACUCUGUUAUGAGGGAAGAACAAAUGUGUAAGUAACUAUGCACGUCUUGACGGUACCUAAUCAGAAAGCCACGGCUAACUACGUG
rnacentral:rRNA from 1 species